UUCUGUGUGGAGUCUUUAUGUUCUCCUCAUGUUUGUGUGAGUUCUCUCCGGGUAUGCCAGUUUCCUCCCACCAUCCAAAAACAUGCACUGAUAGGUUAAUUGGUUAAUCUGUAUUGCCCAUAGGAGUGAAUAUGACAGUGAUUGGUUGUUCGUCUCUUUGUCAUCCUGAAGUGA